GUGGGGAAUAUUGCACAAUGGGCGCAAGCCUGAUGCAGCGACGCCGCGUGGGGGAUGACGGCCUUCGGGUUGUAAACUCCUUUCGCAACCGACGAAGCCUUUUGGUGACGGUAGGUUGAGAAGAAGCACCGGCUAACUACGUGCCAGCAGCCGCGGUAAUACGUAGGGUGCGAGCGUUGUCCGGAAUUACUGGGCGUAAAGAGCUCGUAGGUGGUUUGUCGCGUCGUUUGUGGAAUACCGCAGCUUAACUGCGGGGUUGCAGGCGAUACGGGCAUAACUUGAGUGCUGUAGGGGAGACUGGAAUUCCUGGUGUAGCGGUGGAAUGCGCAGAUAUCAGGAGGAACACCGAUGGCGAAGGCAGGUCUCUGGGCAGUAACUGACGCUGAGGAGCGAAAGCAUGGGGAGCGAACAGGAUUAGAAACCCUAGUAGUCC
rnacentral:rRNA from 1 species